rnacentral:lncRNA from 1 species
CCCAAUCGGCAGCCGAGCUACUCCAGCAGCCUCCCUAGGCCAUGAUUGCUCCACUGCCACCUGCAAACAAAGAGGAAGAAGACAAAAUUGGGGGGUUAAAAAGAAAAAUUGAAGAGAAGAAAGGGGGCAAGCAAUAAAAAAAAGAGCAAACAACAGAAGCAAAAAAAAUUCAAAACAGCAGCAGCUCCUUCCGUCACACCAGCGCCACCGUGCCCACCACCGCAGCACCACCAUCGCCUACACUUAGCAAAGCAAGCAAGAAUCCGAAAAAAACAACAAGCAAAAUCCAAAAGAAAAAAGAAAGAAAACCCAAAAAGAAAGAGUCAAAGAAGCAGCAGCCAAUAGCCAAAUUUAGAGGAGGAGAAAAUGCUUACCUUUGAGCCGUCGGCCACUGAGUGAGGAGAGAAGCUGAGGACGACCACGGCGG